UACGUAGGGUGCAAGCGUUGUCCGGAAUUAUUGGGCGUAAAGAGCUCGUAGGCGGCUUGUCACGUCGACUGUGAAAACCCGGGGCUCAACUCCGGACCUGCAGUCGAUACGGGCUGGCUUGAGUGCGGUAGGGGAGACUGGAAUUCCUGGUGUAGCGGUGAAAUGCGCAGAUAUCAGGAGGAACACCGAUGGCGAAGGCAGGUCUCUGGGCAUUAACUGACGCUGAGGAGCGAAAGCAUGGGGAGCGAACGGG
rnacentral:rRNA from 1 species